rnacentral:rRNA from 1 species
UACGUAGGGGGCAAGUGUUGUCCGGAUUUAUUGGGCGUAAAGAGCGUGUAGGCGGUUUGGUAGGUCCGCUGUGAAAACUCGAGGCUCAACCUCGAGACGCCGGUGGAAACCAUCAGGCUAGAGUCCGGAAGAGGAGAGUGGAAUUCCUGGUGUAGCGGUGAAAUGCGCAGAUAUCAGGAAGAACACCCGUGGCUAAGGCGGCUCUCUAGUACGGUACUGACGCUGAGACGCGAAAGCGUGGGGAGCGAACAGG